CCGCGGUUCGGGGCGCGCGCGGGAUUUCCAGCGCGCGAGGCGGCCCGGACUUUCGGGGGAGGGGGGCCUGGAAUCCCCUCCCGGUCCUCGGAGAGUCCCGGACUCGAGCCUUUCCCAAGUUCUGUUGGGGCUGGAGGGGCUGCCCGAGGAAGGGGCCCGGGUUGCAGCCGGAUCUCGCGCAGGUGGCGGUGAUGGCCGGAGUGUCUCCUGGCUGCUGCGACCCCAGCCCCCGGGUGCUCUGGCUUCUCCCGACCUCUACGUUCCGGUCUGAGUAAUGGGGCUGCAGCGCCGGCCUCUCUGGUUUGCAGAGCGUGACCUCAAAUAAGGCUGACAGUCGGCGCCCAGCAAACGUCAGCUGUCACCUGGGGGUCGCGGGGGGCUUCCUCGAGGUCCCCAAAAGGGGGGGGUUGCAAAGCCUGGGGGGGAAGAAACCGGGCGCCCCCUCGCCGCCCCCUGCGAGUUUCAGGCUGGGGCGCGCGUGGGAGGUGCAGGUGGCGGCCCCGCCCCCGCCGGGUACCUAACGUUCCAGCCUCUGCGGGUGCGGAGGCCUCCGGGCCCGGGAGAAGGCCGGGGAGGGAGAGGGAAGGGUGCAGGCUCCGGCUGCACUUCGCCGCUUCGGGCCCACGUGCAAGGGUGGCGGCCACUUUUAUUACCCACUCCGGGGUGGGGGCGCUGACCUGCGUGGAGCGCGUGGCCCGGACCUGGCCCCCACCCCACCCAUCCCCGUUCACGGAUGAUUCAACUCAAGGCCCGGGAAGCAGGUGUGGUGCUUAUGUGCAUUAUGCAAAAGGAGAAACUGAGGCUUGGCGAGGCCACCGGCGAGUUCGUGUUGGAGCCACGAGCGAGGCGGGCAGGCCCCGCGUGACAACGUCUCCCACGGUCGACCGGGGACUCCAGGGUGACUCACAUCUGCGUCCCCUCCCCCGCCAGCCUGGGGUCUGGCCUCGGCCCCGCGGCUCGGUUUCCCCGGCUGCCUGGCCCCCGGGCCCGCGGGUCCGGCUGACGCAUCGCGCCUCCUCCGCGCCGCCCACCGCUGGGGUGCGAAACGUCGCUGGACUGCGAGGCGCGGCGGCGCCAUCUGGUGGCCGCGCGGGGUCCCUGCGUCCUUAGCCCCGGAAGAGAGGGACGGACGGGCGGGGCCCUGGGCUGGAGGGGAUAAGGGGAGGGUGGC
rnacentral:lncRNA from 13 species